AGAGUUUGAUCAUGGCUCAGAUUGAACGCUGGCGGCAGGCCUAACACAUGCAAGUCGAGCGGUAGCACAGAGAGCUUGCUCUCGGGUGACGAGCGGCGGACGGGUGAGUAAUGUCUGGGAAACUGCCUGAUGGAGGGGGAUAACUACUGGAAACGGUAGCUAAUACCGCAUAACGUCGCAAGACCAAAGUGGGGGACCUUCGGGCCUCAUGCCAUCAGAUGUGCCCAGAUGGGAUUAGCUGGUAGGUGGGGUAACGGCUCACCUAGGCGACGAUCCCUAGCUGGUCUGAGAGGAUGACCAGCCACACUGGAACUGAGACACGGUCCAGACUCCUACGGGAGGCAGCAGUGGGGAAUAUUGCACAAUGGGCGCAAGCCUGAUGCAGCCAUGCCGCGUGUGUGAAGAAGGCCUUCGGGUUGUAAAGCACUUUCAGCGGGGAGGAAGGCGGUGAGGUUAAUAACCUCACCGAUUGACGUUACCCGCAGAAGAAGCACCGGCUAACUCCGUGCCAGCAGCCGCGGUAAUACGGAGGGUGCAAGCGUUAAUCGGAAUUACUGGGCGUAAAGCGCACGCAGGCGGUCUGUCAAGUCGGAUGUGAAAUCCCCGGGCUCAACCUGGGAACUGCAUUCGAAACUGGCAGGCUAGAGUCUUGUAGAGGGGGGUAGAAUUCCAGGUGUAGCGGUGAAAUGCGUAGAGAUCUGGAGGAAUACCGGUGGCGAAGGCGGCCCCCUGGACAAAGACUGACGCUCAGGUGCGAAAGCGUGGGGAGCAAACAGGAUUAGAUACCCUGGUAGUCCACGCUGUAAACGAUGUCGAUUUGGAGGUUGUGCCCUUGAGGCGUGGCUUCCGGAGCUAACGCGUUAAAUCGACCGCCUGGGGAGUACGGCCGCAAGGUUAAAACUCAAAUGAAUUGACGGGGGCCCGCACAAGCGGUGGAGCAUGUGGUUUAAUUCGAUGCAACGCGAAGAACCUUACCUGGUCUUGACAUCCACAGAACUUAGCAGAGAUGCUUUGGUGCCUUCGGGAACUGUGAGACAGGUGCUGCAUGGCUGUCGUCAGCUCGUGUUGUGAAAUGUUGGGUUAAGUCCCGCAACGAGCGCAACCCUUAUCCUUUGUUGCCAGCGGUUAGGCCGGGAACUCAAAGGAGACUGCCAGUGAUAAACUGGAGGAAGGUGGGGAUGACG
rnacentral:rRNA from 1 species